GGACAUUUUUGGAUGAGAAUUUGUUCCAUUUGCAUCAUUAAAGUCAAAAACAAAAUCAAAACUAUGCUGUUUAUACUAAUAUCUACAGCUGGUGUUCCUCAGCAAGAGGUAAAAUGGUUCAUUAUUAAAUAAAUGGAUAAAACAAAACCAUAAAAAACUGUAGGACAAACAUAGGACAGAUUAUAUUCCCUGUCGGACAAACAUAGGACAGAAUUCAUUAAUUUACUGAUCCUAAUGGGAAUUUAAAAAUGGGCACCUCUUAAGAAGAGACUAGGAAGGGUCUGAGAACUAUUUUUUAGUUUAUGUGGACUUGUUAGUUGUUAACAAGGUUCUUUUUACUUUUAAAAAGCUGUUACGUCCGACAUUAGAAGAUUUUGUCCUACGGUUCGUCCAACAGAAAAUUAAUGGACUCUUGUUACGUCCUAAUUUUCAAAAUUAUGUCAAAUUUAGACUGUCAACAGUUUAAAACCUCUUUAUUUUUCAUUUAUAUGGUAGUAUUUAAGGUUAAGUAAUUGUCAAAGUAGAAGCGAAAUUGAUUCUGUGACUUGUGGUAGCCAUUUUAGAGAAUAUCUUGGAUGUUGGACGUAACAUUUUUUUGGACAAAUGUUGGAUGUAACUUCCAUCUCUUGGUUGGACAGAAAGAGUGUUCACCCCUUCAAUGUCGUUGACCUCAAGUAAAAAGGAACAGUUGACAGCAAUACCGUAUGCACAUCGCGAUUGUCGUAAAAUUUGUUGUCAUAAACAUUAAAAAAACUUAAACUGAGUUGGCAACUUGCAAAUGAAAAUUGAAAUUUUCGCCCGUAACGGUUGGACAGAUUUUUCAAGAGUAAACUUUAAUGACAAUUCCUGAAAAAAAUAAAACUUUCUGCUGUAACUUCAUGAUGAAUUAUCACAUUUUAGUUAAUAAGCUCAAGCCUCAAGAUAUUUUGUGCAUUUAAUUGCCCUCUAUUGUUACAUAACUUAUAUUUCAUUUUCACAUAGGAAGAAGACAGAAAAUGUUAGUCCAACAACAUGACCAUUUAAAAUUGUUUUUAAUCCUUAUUUUUCGAUGAUUUUUCAUGUUUUAGUGUCCUUAACCUUGCAAACCCUAUUGUUUUACCUGAAAAUCCUUUUUACCUAGUUGUCAUUCAUACAAAAAGGUUAAUAAAACAAUUUUGAUUUUGGGUCAUUCGACCAUGUCACAAAAUAAGCAUGCAAAAAAUAGGGAAUUCAACACUUCAUUUAUAAAAUACUUUAUUCAACAAUAAACUUUUCAUAUGAGACUGUUUAUAUUAUCUCUUCAUCAUGCAGUGAAUUGAGUAGCUACCUGCAUUAAAACUCAAAAUAAUUUAAAAUAUGAAAAAAAUGCAUUUUUCUGGGACACCCAUUGAAACAGCACUUUACUGAAUACUUAGCCA
rnacentral:lncRNA from 1 species